UUUUUGAAAUAGACUUGAGUUUAGAAAAUAUAACCGUUACAAAAGCGCGUGUUUAUUUAUUAUUUUUUGAACUAACAAAAGCGCGUGUUAUCAAACGUAACAGCAAAACGUAGUUUUUUCUCCAACUUAAUUUUCAGUUUCCACAGUUUAAACAUUCUAUAUUUCUCUCUCUCUCUCUCUCUCUCUCUCUCUCUCUGGAUCGACUCUUCGAGGAUUUGCAAAAACGGAAGAUUCGAAGAGUUUUUUGGAUUAGAAAGUCAGUAAGUGUUUCAUCUGAUGUAAUUUGUGUAAGGAUUUCCAAUUUUCCUGCCUGAAAUCGAUACGAUGGGUUUAGGAUUUGCUAGUUCCUCACUGGUCUAUGUUAAUUAGGGUAUUGUGUAAAUCGUUCUAAUGUUGCAGUGAUCUUUUGGUGUAGGGUUUCCUUUUGAAGUGAAGCUUCUUGACUCACCAUCGUCCAAGCCUAAUUUAGGAACAUUCAUGGAACCAGUGAGAUCAAGUGUUAGAGAGAGAUGAACGUGAUGGAUAUACAACUUGAUGAUAAUAUCGCUUGCAAAUCAUGAGAUGCAUUGGUUAGAGGACAAAAGUCACUGGCCUUCCUUUUGGCUGUCUACUGCUGCUAACUUUCGAGGUAAAUUCCUUGUCUAUUAAAUUAGCUUCACGUUUGUUGAUUUUUUGUCUUCAGAGGAUGGAAUCGAAUGAGAACAAAGUCGAAUGUAUAUGUUCAGUUCUCUUCGAUAAUGAUGUCUUAGGAUUUUGAAACCCAAAAAGGUCAUAGGCAACCACUAAUCUUAUAGUGUGUUUGUAUCAGAGAUUCUUGGUUUGGUACAUUGUUGCCUCGGAAACUAGACCCAUAAGGAAUCUUGGUUGGUAGUGCGUGUCUAAAGAGGGACAUUAUGGGAUGGAUAAUAAGAGUCUUAAGAAAAAGACUAUAUGGGAUCUGUUUUUGAUUAGGUGGAGGAUAACGAGGGUUAAGAAGUCUUUGUAAUAAAGAUUAUGAAUCUCAAACAGAUCCCGUAUAAUCUUGUUUCAGUACAUUGUUGCCUCAGAAACUAGACCCAUAAGGAAUCUUGGUUGGUAGUGCAUGUCUAAAGAGGGAUAUUAUGGGAUGAAUAAUAAGAGUCUUAAGAAAAAGUCUAUAUGAGAUCUGUUUUUGAUUAGGUGGAGGAUAACGAGGGUUAAGAAGUCUUUGUAAUAAAGAUUAUGAAUCUCAAACAGAUCCCGUAUAAUCUUGUUUCAGUACAUUGUUGCCUCAGAAACUAGACCCAUAAGGAAUCUUGGUUGGUAGUGCAUGUCUAAAGAGGGACAUUAUGGGAUGGAUAAUAAGAGUCUUAAGAAAAAGACUAUAUGGGAUCUGUUUUUGAUUAGGUGGAGGAUAACGAGGGUUAAGAAGUCUUUGUAAUAAAGAUUAUGAAUCUCAAACAGAUCCCGUAUAAUCAUGCUUACAAGUCUUUAGGCAAAAAAGACUCUAUGGGAAUGGAAAAAGAUAUGACCAACGGCUUAGAAACAAAGUCCUUAGAUGGUAAAAGCGACUAAGGGCUUAAUAAGACUUGUUGGAUGGGGAAAAAAAGACCAACUUUUCAAAUAAGUCUUAAGACAAAGACUGAAAUAAAAAGCCAGAAUCCUUGUUUUCGCUACCCAUGGCUUACAAAAAGAUGUCUAGACAAAGAUCACAUGUGCCUGUUUUUAGACACCUAAGGACUAAUGGCUGAAACAAUACAUGUUGGAUGGAAUAAAAGUACAAAAACGGCUUAAAGAAGUCUAGAAGGCUUACAAAUCUCUAGAAAAUGACCAGAUUGGUCGAUACUGGAUGGAAACAAUAUUAACCAGCAGCUUAUUUUUGCUACCCACGGCUUACAAAAAGGUGUCUAGACAAAGACCAUAUGUGUCUGUUUUUAGACCCCUAAGGACUGAUGGCUAAAACAAUACAUGUUGGAUGGGGAAAAAGUACAAACGGCUUAAAGAAGUCUAGAAGGCUUACAAAUCUCUAGACAAAUACCAGAUUGGUCAAUGCUGGAUGGAAACAAUUACCAGCAGCUUAAAAGAAAGUACUUAGAUGGAAAGACGGCUAAUGACAUAAUUUUAAUUCUUGGUGGAUGGGGAAAAGACCAACAACAUCUCAAAUAAAUCUUAAGACAAAGACUGAAAUGAAAAGCCACAUUCCUCAUUUUUGCUACCCACGGCUUACAAAAGGUGACUAGACAAAGGUGUGUCUGUUUAUAGACAUGCUAGAUGGGAAAGCCACCAGUCGCUUAGUAAAAAGCCCUUACUUCUUAGAUGAAAAAUGACUAAUGGCUGAAACAAUACUUGUCGGAUGGAAAAAACGUACAAAAGGCUAAAGAAGUGUAGACGGCUUAAAAAUCUCUAGGCAAAGACAAAGCUUAGACAAAGACCAGAUUGGUGAUAGACAUGCUGGAUGGAAACAAUGACCAACAGCUUAGAAGAAAGUCUGUAGAUGGUAAAAUGGCUAAUGACAUAAUUAUAACACUUUUUGGAUGGGGAAAAUACCAACAUCUCAAAUAAGUCUUAAGACAAAGACUGAAAUGAAAAGCCACAUUCCUAACUUUUGCUACCCACGACUUAUACAAGGGGCUUAGACAAAGACAUAAGUCCUCUAGAAAAGACCAGAUGAAUCAGGUUUUACACAUUAGAAGAAAGUCCUUGAGUGACUAAUGACUUAAUUUUAACACUUGAUGGAUGGGAACAAAAAUAACAACAAAUGGCUUGAAGAAGUCUAAACGAAAGACAAUGAACCAAAAGGCAUAAAGAACACCAACGACUGACAAAGUCUUAAAUAAGGAGUCUUAAGACAAGACUAUAUAGGAUCUGUUAUUGAUUAUUUGGAUGGAGUGGAGGAUAACAAGGAUUAAUAAAGCCUUUAAGUAAAGACUAUGAAUCUGAAACAGAUCCCGUAUAGUCAUGCUUACAAGUUCGUAGAUGGAAAAAACGACUAAGGGAUAGAAGCAGACUUGUUGGAUGGAAAAAAAACGAACAACAUGUCAAUUAAGUCUUUAAGACAAAGACUGAAAUGAAAAGCCAGAUUCCUUACUUUUUGUUGGGUUUCCCUCCUUAAGCCCAAAACUAAUCAAAUCAUAAUCAAGCCUUAGCCCAAGAAGAAGAAGUAUCUAGAGGAAGAAGAAGAGUGUGGAAGAAGAAGUGUGUAGAAGAUGGAGAAGUCUCUAGAAUUAGCUUGUAGUUACUCUUCCACUAGUAUAAAUAGGAGUGUAGAGCUCACUUGUAAAAUCAUCCAAGAAUCAAGAAAAGUAAUAGAAAGAAAACAUUUCAUAAAGAGUUCAAAAAGUUUCUAAGAUAUCUCCAAACAAA